rnacentral:lncRNA from 1 species
GUUUAACAACUGUACACUUUUUGCAGCCUUGAAAACAUUUUUGUACUUGAAUGGGAAAAUAUAGUUUGACCAAAUCUUAACUUUAUUCUUAUCUACCUCAGAGAAACAGUGAGAAAACUCACGAAUCUAACAGAGUCAACGACUGGCAAACAGGUGCGACAUUGCUCGGAUGCAUUUUUGUACGAAGUUGCUAAAACUGCACUGAUUCAGUGUUCACUGUGAGGUGAAAAAUUUAGUCCUACAUGGUUUUCCUUUUUGGAUUACAAUGACUCAGAAUGAAAUUGUGAAAUUACAAAUUCAAUAGUCAACCAGAAAUAAGAACACACCUAGCAAUAUCCUUUUUGCAAAGGCUAAACUGCAAGGUGGAUAACUACAAUGUCAAAUGCCAAACUAACAAUUCAUAGAACAAUCAGUGAUACUU